AAUGUCAGGAUGUAGAAAACGUUUUGCAUACCACCAUUUAGUCUGUUUCGGUGUACUGACAUGGAUAGCCCGUGCUGACCACUCAAGGUCAUCCCAUUCAGUUGUUCGGCCGUCAUAGUGAAACAGCAUAAUGGUAAAGUUCUCUGAAAACUUUUUCACUGCUGCAUCAAUGUUACUCUUCUGCUUGAGGCCAACUGUGAAGGUCACAAGGUACCUUGGCUUGAUGAUCAAGUCCUCACUUGGCAGUCCCCACAGCCUUCGAGUAUAAAGAUCAGACUCAGAUGCUACAAUACCCGGGGGUAGCCUCUCGGCGCCUCUGGGAUUUGAUGGAACCCAAAUCUUCGCGGCCUUAUUCUUGUGUGAACUGCCAACACGAUCCUUCAAGGAAUUCAAAACAUUUAAUAGAGCUUGAGUUGAGAGGCCUGACUUUUCCAUGUCAGGUAGAUCAAUCGAUGGGAUAAGAUUCGUAGGUAAGGGCAGCUUGGACAAUGAAAUUGUCGGAAAAGUUACACCUAGGAAAAACCCGAAUACAACUCCAAUAAAAGUAGUCACAAAAAGCCUCAUCUUUUCAUUCCGUCUUCUCGAGUUUGAGCUGCGUUUCAUAGGCGUCCCCAUCUUAGUCACAAGCUCACAAUCCUUUUCAGAAUCAGAAAAGGACUAACAUCUGCUUAGCCCAAAUAUGAGUUGGGAGAUUCCUGAAGUUGAAGUAGCUGAUCUGAAAGAUUAGGAAAGUAAGAAUCUAUGCUUCAACCAAAAUCAAAAUUUGGGAUGUUGUUAAGUUUUCAAUGUUCAUCGGAAUCUUUAAUAUAGGAAAAUCCAA
rnacentral:misc_RNA from 1 species